GAUGAACGCUGGCGGCGUGCCUAAUACAUGCAAGUCGAGCGAACGGACGAGAAGCUUUCUUCUCUGAUGUUAGCGGCGGUCGGGUGAGUAACACGUGUAUAACCUACCUAUAAUACUGGGAUAACUUCGGGAAACCGGAGCUAAUACCGGAUAAUAUUUUGAACCGCAUUGUUCAAAAGUGAAAUACGGUCUUUCUUUCACUUAUAGAUGGUUCCUCGCUGCAUUAGCUAGUUGGUAAGGUAACGGCUUACCAAGGCAACGAUGCAUAGCCGACCUGAGAGGGUGAUAGGACACACUGGAACUGAGACACGGUCCAGAAUCCUACGGGAGGCAGCAGUAGGGAAUCUUCCGCAAUGGGCGAAAGCAUGACGGAGCAACGCCGCGUGAGUGAUGAAGGUCUUCGGAUCGUAAAACUCUGUUAUUAGGGAAGAAAAUAUGUGUAAGUAACUGUGCACAUCUUGACGGUACCUAAUCAGAAAGCCACGGCUAACUACGUG
rnacentral:rRNA from 1 species